rnacentral:hammerhead_ribozyme from 1 species
AUCCAGUUGACGAGUCCCAAAUAGGACGAAACGCACAUCUGCUGGAU